GAUCGAACUCCGAACCACUCGUUUAUGAAGCGAGCGCUCUACCACUACACCACUACCGCAUGUUGCUGUUGCCACUACUGUUGAUGAAGUAGGCUUCAAGGAUAUUGUUGUUCUUUUGGAUAUACAAAUAGUUUUUGAACUAGGGAGCAUUUGCUUUAAAUCUGAAGAUAGAAACUUUUUUCUUCACGGUAGAGCACUCACCAUCUUGUUUGAUGUCAAAAACCUAAUUCAAUGAAUAGUAUUUUCUUUGUUUUACACAUUUAUUUUACGUCUUAAGCACUUUUUACAGUUUUGCCUGUACGACUUGAUUUGACUCCAGAAAAUUCUAGAGAGUUUCAGAGACUUCUAAAAACAUCCAGAAAAGACCAGAAAGUUCUAGAAAGUUCCAUAAGAACAAUGAGCGCUCUUUAUAUAUAACUCCAAACAUUUAUAUGUUUAUACAGUAAGGAUGCUUUGCAAACAAUUGCGAUGGUCGGAGCAUGGAAAAACCAAUAAAAUAAAUAUUUGCACGAUUAACCAACCUUUUUUUUCUUUUUUAGUCAGCAAAACAUGUAAGGUAAUCCCCCCACCCCCCAUUCCACGCGCCGGCCUUGCAUAUAUAUAUAUACAUAAUCAAUGAUUGUGUAUAUACAAAUGCAAUAUAUGAUAGUCAAUAUGCAAUCAAUAUGCAAUAUGCAAUAUAUGAUUGUCAUAUAUGUAUGUGUAUGUGUGUGCGUGUGUGUGUGUGGAGUAGGGGGUGGGGGUGGGGGAGUGACUUACAAGUUUUACCAACUAAUAAAGAAAAAAAAAAGAUAAAUUUAAUGGAGGGUUUUCAUCCCAUAAAAAAGGAUUCUAAGAAAAUUAUUUAGUGUGUUACCAGCAAACAUUGUGUUUAUAAGUGGUUAUCUAUAAUAGUCAAUAAAAUUAAUAUAGUAUAAUUAUUAAUAAAAUAUUUA